GAUGAAGAACGUAGCAAAAUGCGAUAAGUAGUGUGAAUUGCAGAAUUCAGUGAAUCAUCGAAUCUUUGAACGCACAUUGCGCCCCUUGGUAUUCCAUGGGGCAUGCCUGUUCGAGCGUCAUUUGUACCUUCAAGCUCUGCUUGGUGUUGGGUGUUUGUCCUUGCUCUAGUGGCGGGACUCGCCUUAAAGUAAUUGGCAGCCAGUGUUUUGGUUUUGAAGCGCAGCACAAGUCGCGAUUCAAGUCUAUACGCUAGUUUCCACAAGUCUUUUAUCACUUUUGACCUCGGAUCAGGUAGGGAUACCCGCUGAACUUAAGCAUAUCAAUAAGCGGAGGA
rnacentral:misc_RNA from 1 species